rnacentral:tRNA from 1 species
GGGCUGCUCGAUCAUCUAGAAGGUCACCCGCCUCGCACGCGGGAGAGCAGGGUGCAACUCCCUGGCGGUCCACCA